rnacentral:rRNA from 1 species
UACAGAGGUCCCAAGCGUUGUUCGGAUUCACUGGGCGUAAAGGGUGCGCAGGUGGUCGGGUAAGUCUGAUGUGAAAUCCCGCAGCUCAACUGCGGAAUGGCAUUGGAUACUAUUUGGCUAGAGGGUUGGAGGGGGGACUGGAAUUUCCGGUGUAGCGGUGAAAUGCGUAGAUAUCGGAAGGAACACCAGUGGCGAAGGCGACUUCCUGGCCCGAAACUGACACUGAGGCGCGAAAGCGUGGGGAGCGAACAGG